ACGGGUGAGUAACACGUAUGCAAUCCACCUGUAACAGGGGAGUAACCCGGAGAAAUCCGGACUAAUACCCCAUAAUAUGGGCGCUCCGCAUGGAGAGUCCAUUAAAGAGAGCAAUCUUGGUUACAGACGAGCAUGCGCUCCAUUAGCCAGUUGGCGGGGUAACGGCCCACCAAGGCGACGAUGGAUAGGGGUUCUGAGAGGAAGGUCCCCCACAUUGGAACUGAGACACGGUCCAA
rnacentral:rRNA from 1 species